rnacentral:rRNA from 1 species
AGCGAACGCUGGCGGCGGGCCUAACACAUGCAAGUCGAGCGCCGUAGCAAUACGGAGCGGCAGACGGGAGAGUAACACGUGGGAACGUACCCUUUGGUUCGGAACAACCCAGGGAAACUUGGGCUAAUACCGGAUAAGCCCUCACGGGGAAAGAUUUAUCGCCGAAGGAUCGGCCCGCGUCUGAUUAGCUAGUUGGUGAGGUAAUGGCUCACCAAGGCGACGAUCAGUAGCUGGUCUGAGAGGAUGAUCAGCCUCACUGGGACUGAGACACGGGCCAGACUCCUACGGGAGGCAGCAGUGGGGAAUAUUGGACAAUGGGCGCAAGCCUGAUCCAGCCAUGCCGCGUGGGUGAUGAAGGCCCUAGGGUUGUAAAGCCCUUUCAGCGGGGAAGAUAAUGACGGUACCCGCAGAAGAAGCCCCGGCUAACUUCGUGCCAGCCGCCGCGGUAAAAC